rnacentral:lncRNA from 1 species
GCCUUUAUCACCCUUCAGUCAUAGUGACUCUUGAGGAAUACAUCUGGUUUUCUCUUUCAGCAGCUCUGAAAAGCAAUUUCUAUCUCCAAGCUAAAUAUGAAGAUGCCUCAUGUCCCCAUCUGCCACCUUGAGUCGGUGCUCACAACGAAGCCAACAGAGUUGAACAGAUAUCAAAACAUGGAAAGAAAGAGCUGGACCCUGGCUGAAAGCCUGAGGUGUAGUCAUCUUCACUAUGCUCCAGCAUUCUGAAUAAGGAUGAAAAGUAGGUCUUCCAUGAAAAGUCACCUCUCUCACUAACAUCCUGUGGCAGCGAGUUUUGUAAGCUCUCCACAGAAUAUAUCCGUUUAAUUGUUUGCUUUUUGCUAUUCUUCUACAUGCACUGAGUUCUGUUGGUUUGUCUUUUCAGGAUAAAGCAAGCCAUGGUGAUAUCCUCUAUCAGAAUAUAAACUUGCAACACACAACUUGUUUUGGACCAGUGGAGACCUCUGUCUCCAGCUGCAGCUCUAACAGAAAUAACAAUGAAUAUAAUAAAUGACAAGUACAAGACA